rnacentral:tRNA from 1 species
GCUGGCCUGGCUGAUGGGCGGCAGCCCGCUGCUGUGGUCGGUGCUGGCCGGGGCGGUGGUGCUGGCGCUGCUGUGCGGCCUGGUGGGCUGGGG